CCACAAGAUAUGUCUUACCAGCCAACUUGAUUCAACUUCUUACCCAAAUUCUCUAGAUUAAAGGGUGAAGAUGCCAACAAGAAUUUGAGGGAGUUUCAUGUAAUAUGCUCUAUUAUCACUUCAAAAAGAACAAAAAAUAUCGAUGGACAAAAUUUAUCAAAAAUAAUCAAUAUUCAUUGGUAAUGAAAAAUUUUCCACGAUUUACCG
rnacentral:lncRNA from 1 species